rnacentral:rRNA from 1 species
GACGUAGGGCGCGAGCGUUGUCCGGAUUUAUUGGGCGUAAAGAGCUCUUAGGCGGCUUGUUGCGUCGACCGUGAAAACCCGGGGCUCAACUUCGGGCUUGCGGUCGAUACGGGCGGGCUAGAGUUCGGUAGGGGAGACUGGAAUUCCUGGUGUAGCGGUGAAAUGCGCAGAUAUCAGGAGGAACACCAGUGGCGAAGGCGACUACCUGGCCUGUUCUUGACGCUGAGGCGCGAAAGCUAGGGGAGCAAACGGG